UUUGGGGAGGAAUGUGAAGUGAAACUAUUGAGUAAGAGCAGACACCCAAUGCCAAUUCUCUAAACAGGCACAUAAACAUCUGAAGUAAAUGGGUGAGGCUAAUUCUUUUGUAUUACACAAAUCUGUACCUGCCUGUUUGGAGCAGUGCUUAUUGAGUUCUUACAUGAUCCCUUUGAUUGUGCUCCCCUAGCUGAAGGCUCAAGGUGGCGCUCCUGACUGUCACCUGACUGUGCAUGCAGCAGGACAGUGACCCAAGGAACACAUCGAAGCUAUGCAAAAACUAUUUGUGGAAGAAACUGGAAACUUUAUCAAGCUUCUGGGAAAAGCUGAGCCACAAGGUCAGAAGAAAAUGUCCUACAAACAAGUGGCACUUCUGGGGAGGAGCUAAGGGAGGCAUGAAGGCCAAAGUCUGACAAACUGGUCGUGUCACCAAUAGAGGAUUCUUUCACUAUUUUGAUGUCAAUUUUAAUGAACCCUUACAUGAAAUAAAGAGUGUGACAUUG